UAAAGAAAUUCUAGAGGGUUCUCUUUCACGUGUCAUUCUAAACUGAGGAUGGGGGACAAUGGUACUGUAGCUCUAGAAUUCCGUACAUUCGCAUUUUUAUCUGCAUUUCUGUACUGACAAUUACUUGACAAAUGAGCUGGUAUUUUAUUUUGAUUUUCAAACUGCUCGGGUACUGUGGGAUUACCUUCGAUAAACAUUUGCUCCUGGCGUAUUUCAGGUGGCAUUCAGGUAACAGAUCAUCUGUUUGGCAUUUGUUUGUUGUUGGAUAUUUCGUAUUUGUUAUGGUAUUUGUUAUCAUGAUUUGGCGGAUAAUUUAUUGUAUUUAACAUUUGUUUGGCAGCUGUGUUCAAUCUCUAUAGAUUAUCACAGUUAUGGCAUUUAAGUCCCAGCGAGAGGGGAACUUGACGAAAGCCUCAUCGAUGUGCUUUGCAGUGUGACGUUCUCCGGACAGCUUCUUAGCGAAUUGCGAAAUAUUAGAAGCGCAUUUAAUUUUAAAUCAUACGUCCUAAAAGUAUUUUUAGAAAAUUCAAAAUGCAAUACAGUAGGAGGAGGGCAGCUUACCUUUUUCCCUAGACCAUAAAGCAUUCAGUCCGAAUAGUUCGUUUUGUGCAUUCUAUUCCUCGUCGUCCAAAUUGACAUGUAUCUUGGAGCCAUCGUAACUUUUAAGACUUUAAAUCCCAUUUCUUUCCAUUCGAGCUUUCUUGAGCACAUUUCCUGUUCGUUUGUGAGGUCUUCAAAAGUGUAUUUUGAUCAAAGAUGGAGCGAAAGGAAGGAAAACUCGCCUUGACAAUUUUUGCGUUGGGCUCAACAGAACAGACGCCAUUUUGUAAACAUGUACCACCCCCUUCCCCCACAUAUAUGAACAUAAACCAAUGACACGACUUUGUGGGCAAAACCAAACCUAGUAUGGGAGACAGGGGGAAACGUGUUUAAAUCAUGUUUAAUGCGGAUUUAAUGCAUAAAUUAAUUGUCUUACAGGAAUGGAGUGACCAAUCCAACCAUCACUAUACCUCAUGGUAUGAAGUACAUACCAUGAGAGAAAAAUUAGAAAAUUAAAAAAAAAAAUUAAGCAUUUCAAUAACCUUCCAAGCAGAUGGGCUUAGAGGGUAGAUCGUAGAUCGUUGAGCGUAGAUCAAAGAGAGUAGCUGGUAGAGUGUAGAUGGGCUUAGAGGGUAGAUGGUAGAUCAUAGAGCGUAGAGAGUAGCAUGGUAGAAUAUAGAGGCUAGAUGGUAGAUCAUAGGGCAUAGAUUGAAGAGAGUAGCUGGUAGAACAUAGAGAGUAGAAUGUAGAUGGUAGAACAUACAGCAUAGAGGGUAAACUAAAUACAGAAUUGUACAUUAAAAGGAUUAUUAGAAUACUGUAAACCGUAAUAACACUUAAAUUACACUUUAAUGUAUAUGAGAUAAUAGAGAAAGCCAGUAAAUGACAAUUACAAAAAUUACAGCAUGGCAGAUGAUCGAGAAACUUGCACUCACAACCCAAUAUUUUUUAUCACUCUAUUGGUUUUUUAAGCCUCUAAGCUAGUGUAGAGAGUAGUUAAAAAUUUUUGAACUGAUAAACUCCUAAAUACAUGGAGCGUAGAGUGUAGAUGGUGGAACAUGGAGUGUAAGAGCUUUAAGAGCAUAGCUCAUUGACUGUAGAUGGAAGAACACACAGCAUAGAGCGUAGAACGUAGUCAGGGUAAACUCAAUACUGAAUUGUAAAUUGAAAACAAUUAUUAAAACACUGCAAUCCAUAAUAACACUCAAUAUUCCCUAAGCGAUAUAAUAUUUCCUACAAUAACUAUACGCCACUACACCUCUUUGGUGUACGCAUAUCUGAGAGAAACGAGGCUUUAAACAUUCAAAAUACUACCACAGAGUUGUAGAGCUCUGCAAAAAUUUCAACGCCUAAUCAAGUUUUCUAAAACGGGCUGGGUAUACUGCAUUCAUAUGGAAGUACGGGGUCAUGGAUCACUGUGAGUGUAGAAUUGGAUCCAUCGAUAGCUUUGACGGCUUUUAAUAAUUAUCAUGUAAAGUUUUAGUGAAGAAUUAUUAUUGUUAAAAAAAUUAUUACAAUUAUUGUUGUUGUUGUUGUUGUUGUUGUUGUUGUUGUUAUUUUUAGUAAUACUAUGAUGUGAAGCAUUUCAAAAAGUUAUGUGAAUUGUUAAAAUAUGUUUUUACUGUAGAUUCUGGCUAUGCUUGGAGAGCAGUUUAUGGUUGGGAGUGAGGUUUGUGGUGCAGUGAUUUCUGUGCGAUUUCAGGAGGAUAUCAUCUCAAUAUGGAACAGAAAUGCUGCUGACCAAGCAACAACAACAAGAAUAAGGUGAGACUGAGUUGUCAUCACCUUACCCACCUUGAUAUGGUAAACCUCAAAAAUUGUUACUAAUGAAAUUGCUUUUAGCACCCAUUUCAGCAACUUCUCCUGCAUUGAUGGGCAUUCUUAGAAAAGGGUCUGAAUUCAAGCUGUUCACAUUUGCUCUAGAUUUGUUAAUGCUUUGUAGUAUUAAAACUAUUUAAAUGUUGCUUUUGACUCCAUGAUGCUGAGUGAAGCUGCAAAUUAUUAGACUAGACUUUGAAGCAUCAUAGUGGUCAAUGUAAAUUAAAAGAAUUCUUGUUCAAGCAUGAUUGACAUCCCGAAAUUGAGCAUAAUUCAUGCAGUGCUGUUCCCUUGUAUCAGGAAAAAAAUAUGACUCAAGGUUUUAAUUUUUUCCUGCUUUCUGUAUUGUGAACUGUAUGCACUUCUGAGGAUGUAGAUUAGUCAUGCGGGUGAUGAAAACGUGGAGCCACAGAAGUGCACAGUUUCUGUGCUGAUGAAGUCAUGAGUAUAACAUACCACUGUAGUGUGGUACAAUUUACAGCACAGAAAAUAGUUUUUAGUAAAAGUUCCUAAAACAUAGAGCAGUAGAAAAGCAUCGUUUUUAAUGCAGAAGAUCUUAUGACCAAAAUGUAGAGUAGAGCUGGCGAGUACAUGAUUUGUAAUGCAGACCCAGAGACAAUAGCUGGCUUAAAGUGCCUAUGAAGUAAAAAAUAAUUGAUGCUUAUUUGAAAGGCUUUUCAAAGUAAAG